rnacentral:rRNA from 1 species
AACGGGAGGCAGCAGUGGGGAAUAUUGCACAAUGGGCGCAAGCCUGAUGCAGCAACGCCGCGUGAGGGAUGACGGCCUUCGGGUUGUAAACCUCUUUUAGUAGGGAAGAAGCGAAAGUGACGGUACCUGCAGAAAAAGCACCGGCUAACUACGUGCCAGCAGCCGCGGUAAU